AGUGGCGCACGGGUGAGUAACACGUGGAUAAUCUGCCUGGCGAUUCGGGAUAACACUUCGAAAGGGGUGCUAAUACCRGAUAAGCCCACGGACUCUUAGGGGUUUGCGGGAAAAGGGGGCCUCUGUAUAUGCUCCUGUCGCUAGAUGAGUCCGCGGCCCAUUAGCUAGUUGGUAGGGUAAUGGCCUACCAAGGCGACGAUGGGUAGCUGGUCUGARAGGAUGAUCAGCCACACUGGAACUGAGACACGGUCCAGACUCCUACGGGAGGCAGCAGCGAGGAAUCUUGGGCAAUGGGCGAAAGCCUGACCCAGCGACGCCGCGUGAGGGAUGAAGGCCUUCGGGUCGUAAACCUCUUUUGUGAGGGAAGAAGUUCUGACGGUACCUCACGAAUAAGCCACGGCUAACUACGUGCCAGCAGCSGCGGUAAUAC
rnacentral:rRNA from 1 species